rnacentral:lncRNA from 10 species
GCCGGGGCGGCGCGUGAGACCCACCUGCUCCAGAGCCUCCGCCCGCAGCUGUCGGUGCCUCUGGCCUGCGCCCACCCCGCCCGCUCCUCGGGGCGCUUUGGAGGAGGCGGCAUCGGCGCUCGCCCAGGGGAAUGAGGCUCCAAAAUGAAUCACAACUGGCGGGUCUGACUUCGGGCCUUUGCAGAUGCUGUUCCCCUGCCUGGAGCGCACUUAUCACAAGAUGCCUCAGCAGCCCCCACACACCUGGGAUGAGUAUCAGGUGCUUUGUUGAUCCCAUGCUGUGUGCUCAGGGAGACAAAGCAUGCACGCAUGGGGCUGUAUCCACCUGCAGCAGCUGGUGAAUGACUGCAGAAGGCAGCCCCAGCCCACAUACUGCUACUUCAGUGUGACUGCCACUCCUCUCACUGAGAGUCCGGGGGCGUAUUCCUUCCCCUUGACUGCUCUAACAAAUAAAGAAUGGCAGAAGUGA